rnacentral:tRNA from 1 species
UCACUCUGGAUAUAUGUGAUUUAUCCCUCCCCCACAACCCACAAAGCAACACAAUCAUUUUUCAAAAGGUCCUA